UGCAUUCACUACUGUAAGUCACUCUGGAUAAGAGCGUCUGCUAAAUGACUAAAC
rfam:Salmo salar isolate Sally breed double haploid chromosome ssa13, whole genome shotgun sequence.